GCCUGGGUAGUUUAGUUUUGGUUAGAAUUUCUGUCUUGUAUGUCCCUCCUGGGGAGUCACAAAACAGAGGGUCGGGAGUUCGAAUCUCCUCUCAGGCA